GGGGUUGGACUCACGGUGAGCAGACGUGGUCUAGUCAUUGCGUUUGCCACGAGGAAUCGAAGCCUCUUAAAAAGGCAGAUGAUUUGGACUUCGAGACAGGAGAUGCAGGGGCCUCUGCCACCUUCCCAAUGCAGUGCUCAGCAUUACAUAAGAAUGGCUUUGUGAUGCUCAAAGGCAGACCAUGUAAAAUCGUCGAGAUGUCUACUUCCAAGACUGGCAAGCAUGACCAUGCCAAGGUCCAUCUGGUUGGUAUUGACAUCUUUACUGGGAAAAAAUAUGAAAAUAUCUGCCCCUCCACUCAUAAUGUGGAUGUCCCCAACAUCAAAAGGAAUGACUUCCAGUUGAUUGGCAUCCACGAUGGGUUCCUAUCACUGCUCCAAGACAGUGGGAGGUUCGAGAGGACCUUCGUCUGCCUGAGGGAGACCUCGGCAAGGAGAUGGAGCAGAAGUAUGACUGUGGAGAAGAGAUCCUGAUCACAGUGCUGUCUGCAUGACAGAGGAGGCCGCUGUUGCAAUCAAGGAGGCCAUGGCAAAAUAACUGACUCCCCUCAUG